rnacentral:lncRNA from 1 species
CAUGAGGUGAGCUAGGUUCUGCCUAACUGGAGAACCCAGCUUCGGCCGCCGAAGAAGGGUUCGGCCGCCGAACGUGGUGAGGAGGUGGUUUCGGCUGCCUCAACCUGCCCCCGAAGGAUUGGACUUUCGUCUCUGGAGGGGAGGUUCGGCCGCCGAAGGUGCCGCCGAAGGUGGAGACUUUCGUCUCUGGAGUAUGUUUUGGCCCCC